AGGGUUUGAUCCUGGCUCAGGAUAAACGCUAGCGGUGUGCUUUAUGCGUGCAAGUCGAACGGUCUCGAUUUAUCGGGAUAGUGGCGAACGGGUGAGUAACACGUAAGUAAUCUGCCCCUAAGUAAGGGAUAACUUUGAGAAAUCAGAGCUAAUACCAUAUGUGGUGGUGGAGGUAAGGCUCCAUCACUAAAGCCUUCGGGUGCUUGGGGAGGGGCUUGCGUCCGAUUAGCUAGUUGGUAAGGUAACGGCCUACCAAGGCAACGAUCGGUAGCUGGUUUGAGAGGACGGCCAGCCACAUUGGGACUGAGACACGGCCCAGACUCCUACGGGAGGCAGCAGCAAGGAAUAUUGUGCAAUGGACGAAAGUCUGACACAGCGACGCCGCGUGGGGGAUGAAGGCCUUCGGGUCGUAAACCCCUUUUCCCGGGGAAGAAAAAUGACGGUACCUGGGGAAUAAGUCUUGGCUAACUACGUGCCAGCAGCCGCGGUAAUACGUAGAAGGCGAGCGUUAUCCGGAUUUAUUGGGCGUAAAGCGGGUGUAGGCGGUUCUUCAGGUCGGAUGUAAAAUCUCCCGGCUCAACUGGGAGAGACCAUUCGAUACUGUUGGGCUAGAGUGCAGCAGGGGGAGAUGGAAUUCCCGGUGUAGUGGUGAAAUGCGUAGAUAUCGGGAGGAACACCAGUGGCGAAGGCGGCCUCCUGGGCUGUUGCUGACGCUGACGCCCGAAAGCGUGGGGAGCAAACAGGAUUAGAUACCCUGGUAGUCCACGCUAUAAACUAUGGACACUAGGUAUAGGGAGUAUCGACCCUCUCUGUGCCGAAGCUAACGCUUUAAGUGUCCCGCCUGGAACUACGGCCGCAAGGCUAAAACUCAAAGGAAUUGACGGGGCCCGCACAGCAGCGAGCGUGUGUUUAUUCGAUGCACACGAGACUUACCAGGCUUGACAUGCACGUGUAGGACGAAAGGGGACGACCCUUCGGGAGGUGCACAGUGCUGCAUGCUGUCGUCAGCUCUGCCGGGAGUGUUGGUAAUUCCCGCAACGAGCCCACCCUCCGUCCUAGUUAACUUUUCUAGCGAACUGC
rnacentral:rRNA from 1 species